UACGGAGGAUGCAAGCGUUAUCCGGAAUGAUUGGGCGUAAAGCGUCCGCAGGUGGCAAUGUAAGUCUGCUGUUAAAGAGUCUAGCUCAACUAGAUACAAGCAGUGGAAACUACAUAACUAGAGUACGUUCGGGGCAGAGGGAAUUCCUGGUGUAGCGGUGAAAUGCGUAGAGAUCAGGAAGAACACCGGUGGCGAAGGCGCUCUGCUAGGCCGUAACUGACACUGAGGGACGAAAGCUAGGGGAGCGAAUGGG
rnacentral:rRNA from 1 species